rnacentral:rRNA from 1 species
GACAAAGGAUGCAAGCGUUAUCCAGAAUGAUUAGGCGUAAAGCGUCUGUAGGUGGCUUUUUAAGUCCGCCGUUAAAUCCUAGGGCUCAACCCUGGACAGGCGGUGGAAACUACCAAGCUGGAGUACGGUAGGGGUAGAGGGAAUUUCCGGUGGAGCGGUAAAAUGCGUAGAGAUCGGAAAGAACACCAACGGCGAAAGCACUCUGCUGGGCCGACACUGACACUAAGAGACGAAAGCUAGGGGAACGAAUGGG